CCUACGGGGCGCACCAGUGGGGAAUAUUGCACAAUGGGCGCGAGCCUGAUGCAGCCAUGCCGCGUGUAUGAAGAAGGCCUUCGGGUUGUAAAGUACUUUCAGCGGGGAGGAAGGCGAUAAGGUUAAUAACCUUGUGGAUUGACGUUACCCGCAGAAGAAGCACCGGCUAACUCCGUGCCAGCAGCCGCGGUAAUACGGAGGGUGCAAGCGUUAAUCGGAAUUACUGGGCGUAAAGCGCACGCAGGCGGUCUGUCAAGUCGGAUGUGAAAUCCCCGGGCUCAACCUGGGAACUGCAUUCGAAACUGGCAGGCUAGAGUCUUGUAGAGGGGGGUAGAAUUCCAGGUGUAGCGGUGAAAUGCGUAGAGAUCUGGAGGAAUACCGGUGGCGAAGGCGGCCCCCUGGACAAAGACUGACGCUCAGGUGCGAAAGCGUGGGGAGCAAACAGGAUUAGAUACCCUCGUAGUC
rnacentral:rRNA from 1 species